AUUAAUAGCUAAUAGCUUAUUUCCAUCUUAAUCUCAAAAAUCUAUUGAUUUUCAAUAAAUUGUAUGAAUUCUCUCAGUGUAUUGUUGAUUCAACUGACUUUUUGUGUCCUGCAACCGCAACUAGAAAGCACACGCCGCCUCAUCCUGCCACUGCCCCUGUGUUUUCAAAACUCACCCCAAAAGUCAGAGAUGGGCAAAAGUUUUAAGCAAAUGUUGCCAAAGUGUUUAACAUUUUGUACGGUGUCAGGAGCUUCCUGUUUGUGUGCGACUAUGUGCCUGCGUGCCAAGGAUCCGUGGGGACUUGGCCCAGGACCUGGCCAGGAUCAAGAGUCCGUGUAUCCUGGCUAGGCAAAUGAACUCCACCUGGACGAGGGCCAGACAACUGGUUAAACGUGUGGAUAAAUGUAAAUUAAACAGAGCCCAGAACGGGGACAUAUUCCUGGCAGGAUAAGGGGGAAAUGGAUUGCAGAUUGGCAGGCAACAGGAAUAAAGCAGAGACGGUUUAAUUUGAACUCUAAUUUGCAGCAAAUUGAGCAUUCUUUGGUUUUAUUUCGGGCUGAGAAUAUUCUUAAAUAUUCAAGGAAUAUAAAUUAUAAUAAAAUUUAAUUAAUAACAAACUAGCUUUACUUCUAAAAGCAUAUGUGUUAGUUCUAAAGGUGAGUUAUGAGGAGUGCUCCACUCUUUUUGGCCAAUCCCUCUGGGUAACUAAAUUGGUUUUGUGGAAUGGGCCUGAAUAAUUUAGAACUUCCGUUCAAUCUUGUCGCCACGCCGACAUGGCGACAAGUGCUGGGCAUAUUUCUGGUCAUCCGGGUGCUGGAUUUUGAUUACCAGUUUAUGGAAUUUCAUUAAAAAGUUUCAGGUCGAUGGGUGGGGUGGCAGACUACCGGAGAAGGACUCAUAUCCUGACUUAAAGCUGGAAUCUUGGAGCUUGCGUGAGUUGGGCAAAUGAAAAGCAGACAAUUCCAUAUAACAUUUUAUGAGGACGAAAGCCAGAGCAUUAAUUUCUAUCAGGAAAGUCAAAAAGGUUGAGUGUCUGAAAGGAUAAAGGAUAAAGGAGACAAAGGCCACGCCACGGAAGAGGUGUGGGUGGCACUCCAUUCCCUCUUCACACUGGCUUGCUCUCGAGGUGGUUCCUUUUUUUCAUUCUUCUGUUUUUUAUUUAUGGUUCAAGGAUAAUCAUCCAACAUCGCGUGCUGUUGAAAUUUAAGGAGUGUAUGUGAUUUUUAUCAUGCAAACAGCCGGAAAAUGACCCCCCGUGGCCCGUGGCGACCCUCUUCCAAAGAAACGUGCUAAAUGAGUAAGGUAAAUGAAAUUACCUGACCGAACACACCUCAAAGGCAGCGAUGAGAAACGAGGGGGGCAUGUCCUGUCCAGCUGUGUCCUGCGAUGUCCUGCGUGCGUGUGCCCGGCAGCGGAAAUUACAAAUUUGUUCACCGCUAAUGGAUUUCCAUUCGGAAUUGCUUUUACCCCCUCUGCCCAGCCUUCUCUUCCCUCACUUUAAAUCCCAAACUUAAAUAAAAAUAUUCUUUUAAACUAUUUUGGCCAAAAUCUGCGGAGGCUGCGACUUCUGUUGUUGCCAGAAAAUUAGCUAAAAAAUUUAUGGAGAAAAUACUGCGGGGAAAAUUAAAUUUUCGCCUGCUGUUGUCAACGCGGCGCGCCGUCAUCGUCCUUGCCACAAAACGCUAACGACUACAAAAUUGCAAGAAAAUUACCCGUUAAUGUCCAACAUUUAUGUCUGCCUCCCAAGACGCUCAACGAGGUGGAGGCGUCUGUUUUUUCCCGCUCUGGUUUGUCUAGCCUACAUGGAAAGAAAUUUUGAAUAUAGUCCUGAUUUGGUAACACUUUGACCCUUAAUAAUUGAAAAUUGGGGACUCUGUCAGAGUUGUUUGUUAAAAACCAGAAUAAUGUCCCUAUAAUCCUUUUUAAAAUAUAUAAGUAUUUUUUAUUUGUGCACUUUGAGGUCUGUGGGCUCUCUUGGAGGCUCUUAGCUCCCAAGUCAGGGCCAAGUAAUCGUGGCGGAAUUUCUGGCGCAAAUGCUUCUUUGGAGGAGAGAGAAAAAUAAAAUAACUGGCAAAACUAUUAUGGCCCUUGUGCUUAUUACUUGCUGACAUGCAAACACUUGCCUUCUCUGUUGCUCUCGGAGUAUAUCCCACUCUAUCCUUUCAGGCCAGUUAGAGUGCUAUCAUGUCCCGAUGUCCUGGGCGCCCCAAGGACAAGGACAAUGUAGGAAAUGUAGCAAACUUCAACGCCAAGCUCACGUGUGGGGGAGUCCUUUGGAAAACUUUAAGCAGGCAGGCUGGCUUGCAUUAAAUAUUCAACGUAUUUUGGCAUUUAAUUUUCAGCACACAAUAAAUAAUAACAUGACACAUAGCAGCCCCAAUUUAUAAGCACAAAUCGAAAAUCAACAAUAACAGCACGAAAUAAAAGUAAAUAAAAUUGCUUUUCAACAAAACUUGGCGAACCUGACACACAUGUCGAAGAGUCAUUAAUAAUGAAGGUGGAAGGUGGAAGACGUCGUUACUUUUUUUCCUGUGGCAGGGGCUGGGUGGUGUACACCACACACUCAUGGUGGUGGGGGUUAGAUUCAUGGUAGAAUCAAGUGGUCCACUCCACCACCCGUCGAAAAGUCAACCCCCGGGAUGUCAAACUAAAUUUAUGCACCCACACGCCACCGAGGAAUGCGGGACAGCCGAAAAGUGCUUUGCAGGGCCCACAUCCCCUGUGGCCAAACGUAAUACCCCCAAUUGUAUCCAGAAAAUCCAGAAAUUUGUGGCCCGACUGUCGGUUUGGGUGUCUGCAACUAAUUUCAAUAUCAUCAAAAAUUAAUUUCACUAAUUCGAUUAGAGGCAUUUCACUUAAAGCUCACAUGCCCCGGCAUUCAUUAAUUCUUGGCGCAUUUUUCUUGGCUUCUUCUGAAAUAUAUUAAGUACUUGGAUGAUGUGGCAAUGGCGUGUGUGGGCCUACUGACUUUGCUAAGAGAGAUGGGUUGGGAUAGUCUGGGAUUGAAUAAUAUAUCGGAGGCUAUAUCCAGGUGGGUUUGCUCACUAAAAGCAGGAAUAAUUCAACGUGGCUUUUGAUAUUAUCUUUUUCCAAAAAGUCUCUUAACUUUAACUCCAAAGUAAACUCUAUAAGUGACUCACCAUUUGAGCAAACAGAAAAUUCAAUUGUCCUCCAGGAUACACACGUCCAUGGAAAAGAAACCAAAGUAAACCACAAAUCCCUAAUCGCGUUUUUAAAGCUCAGCAUUUAAUUAGGUCUCGAGGAUAUGAGGAAACCCAAAUGGAAGGCACCGCAGCACAUUUGAGAAAACAUAUUUUGAAAUUAAAUCUCAAGUCAGAGUCAGAGACUCGGUUAAGCCCUGUUCGCAUUGUGCAAAUAAAGAAAUGCUCAUGUGUGAAAAGGUAA